GGCUGAUAGCUUGCGGAGAUCUUCAGUUAUCAAGCAUAUGCAUAAUCCCGCAGUGCUGCCAAAGUCUGGAGAAAAACAGAAUGAGAAAGCUGGUGAAUCUCCUCAAGCAAGCCCAAAACAUUCAGAAAAGGCUGGAGAAACAACCAAACAAGUUCCUAAAGCCCAUGAGGACAUCGAAAGUGUUUUCUGUCAUGGAGCAGGCUGUAUGAUAG